GUGCUAGCUUCAGUAGCAUCUAUACUAAAAUUGGAAAGAUACAAAGAAGAUUAGCAUGGCCCUGCGCAAGGAUGACACACAGGUUCUAAUAAAUAGGGCAUUAAAAA